GCUCCCAACGCGACCCCAGGUUAGGCGGGACUACCCGCUGAGUU
rnacentral:rRNA from 1 species